UGAUGUAACUUACCUUUUAGAUGUUCAGU
rnacentral:piRNA from 1 species